GGAUGUGAGGGCGAUCUGGCUGCGACAUCUGUCACCCCAUUGAUCGCCAGGGUUGAUUCGGCUGAUCUGGCUGGCUAGGCAGGUGUCCCCUUCCUCCCUCACCGCUCCAUGUGCGUCCCUCCCGAAGCUGCGCGCUGGGUCGAAGAGGACGACCAUCCCCGAUAGAGGAGGGGACCGUUCUUCGGUCAAGGGUAUACGAGUAGCUGCGCUCCCCUGCUAGAACCUCCAAACAAGCUCUCAAGGGAUGGAAUCAGCCAAAUCAAGGCUGUGGAGGAAUCUGUGGGACAGCUGAUCUCAUUUCUACAAAAAUAUAUUAAUUUUUUUCAAAGAAAAAAAGAAAUA
rnacentral:snRNA from 1 species